UACGAAGGGGGCUAGCGUUGUUCGGAAUUACUGGGCGUAAAGCGCGCGCAGGCGGUCUUCCAAGUCAGUGGUGAAAGCCCGGAGCUCAACUCCAGAACUGCCAUUGAAACUGUUGGACUUGAGUACGAGAGAGGUGAGUGGAAUUCCCAGUGUAGAGGUGAAAUUCGUAGAUAUUGGGAAGAACACCGGUGGCGAAGGCGGCUCACUGGCUCGUAACUGACGCUCAGGCGCGACAGCGUGGGGAUCAAACAGG
rnacentral:rRNA from 1 species